GAAAUAUGAAGAUUCAAAAAAAAGCUUCUAACUUUUUAUUUAAACGAUUUAACUUCGUUUAUAUUUCU
rnacentral:tRNA from 1 species